ACUGGUUGAUCCUGCCAGUGAUCAUAUUCUCAGAUCAAAGACUAAGCCAUGCAUGUCCAAGACUAAACAAGUCACUAGUGAAUCUGCGUAUGGCUCAAUAAACGAACCAUAACCUCCCCGAGAACAAAGUACAACUGGAUAACCGUUGUAAUUCAAGGGCUAAUCAUGCGUCAAUAGGGGUUUCUUCAUUGGAGCUCCUGCAUUUGUUAGUCUCAAAUCAACACUUUCGUGCUGAAUCAUGACAAACUGCGAAUCCUCAUGUUGCAAAAGACGGAGGAUGACUCGGUCGGGUCUUUCCCCUAUCAGGUUUCGUCGGAAGUGUAUUGCACUUUCGAGCCUUUGACGGGUAACGGAGAAUUAGGGUUCGAUUCCGGAGAAGGAGCCUGAGAGACGGCUACUACAUCUAAGGAAGGCAGCAGGCGCGUAAAUUUCCCAAUGCUCAUCGAGCGAGGAAGUGACGAUCAAUAAUAAUGUGCGGGGUUUUACCCUGUGCAAUUACAAUGAGUAAAAUGUACAAUCGUUUUCAAUGAUCAAUUGGAGGGCAAGUCUGGUGCCAGCAGCCGCGGUAAUUCCAGCUCCAAUAGGAUAUAUCAAAGUUGUUGCAGUUAAAAAGCUCGUAGUCGUAUUUCUGGUGGGUCGUUUGCCUCUGCUCGGGACUGACGCAAGUUAGCUCCGGCUUGGGCCGCCUGCCAUUUUGCGGAAUCACGGGGGCAUGUUGUGGUUUACUCUGCGACGUGAACUCGCCGCUCGUCACUGAGAGCAAAUUGGAGUGCUCAAAGCAGGCUUUACAGCUUUGAACAUCUUAGCUUGGAAUGACAAAGUAUGACUUUUGUCCACUUUGUUGGUUAUGGACAGACAGUAAUGAUAAAUAGGAACAGUUGCGGGGGUACUCGUACUGGGAAGUCAGAGGUGAAAUUCUUGGAUUUUCCCACGACGAACGACUGCGAAAGCAUUUACCAAGGAUGUUUUCAUUGAUCAAGAACGAAAGUGCGAGGAUCGAAGAUGAUUAGAUACCAUCGUAGUUCGCACAGUAAACGAUGCCGACUCGGGAUUGAGUUCUCUUCGUUAUCAUAGAAGGAUCUCAGCACCGUAUGUGAAAACAAAGUCUUUGGGUUCCGGGGGGAGUAUGGUCGCAAGGUUGAAACUUAAAGGAAUUGACGGAAGGGCACACCAGAAGUGGAGCCUGCGGUUUAAUUUGACUCAACACGGGGAAACUCACCAGGUCCAGACAUGAGAAGGA
rnacentral:rRNA from 1 species